AUGGUGGUGAUGCAGGCAGGUCACGGAAGGGGGCUGAGCCUCAGGCUCUGUCCUUGUGACAUCGGCUCUUCCCCUUUCUGGGUCCCAGCUUCCUCCUGGUUCCUUCUGCUUCUGCUUCUCUGCCUCCUUUUCCUGAGCUUCCGUCCAGUGGCCCCGGCUUCUCCUGGCCAGACAGCUCGAUGGAUUGGCUUCUCUCUGGAUUUGAACACGGUGCCUGUGAUUCCAAGCAUCAGCCUUUGGGGGUUCUGCCUCAACUUUUGAAGAAAUGUCUGUCACUUAUGAUGAUUCUGUUGGUGUAGAAGUCUCCAGCGAUAGCUUCUGGGAGGUGAGGCUCUCCUUCUCUCUGCUGUGGCUCACAUGUCCUCUGAGUUCCUUUUCUUAUCCACGCUUGGUCAAGGGAACUGUACUCAAUGUAUUCUUGGCCACAUUCUGAAUUUCACCCCGAGAGACUGGCUGUUGUGGCAUGUGUUCUGAUUCUGGGCAGGGUUCUUGUUCUCCAGACUGACGUUUGGCAUUCCCAGCAGUGGAACUUGAGCUGACCCUGGAAGCUGGGAGAAUUUGUUGGAAACUGGAGCAGGGUGGAGGACGAGAAGAGGGUUCUUCCUCUGUCCUGGGGGAGCAGCAGGAGCAGAAGUCGGGAUGGGGCCGGGGGAGGAAUGCCUGGGAGAGAUUGGCCUGCUCAGAGCUGGGCCUGGGCUGCCGAGGAAGGGGGUGGCUUUGUUUGGGUUGGCCCCCGACGGACCCAGGAGCUGUGAGAGUGUGUCACUGGCUUCCCAUCCCUUUCAUGGGAUCCUGGGCUUCGGUUGGCACGUGUAGGCACAUGUACAGGGAACUCGGGAGCAGGGCUGUGCCUGCUAGUCAAUAGAGCUUGGCCUUGGGGUUCCUCCCGUGAGCUCUCAGCUCGGAGGCCUCCUGCCUCCUUUUGGGGGGCUCACAAAUAGAUAACGGCUGGGACUAUUUGUAAGUUCUCUGUGGUCCUGGGGCCUCACUGUCCCUGCCUCUGCCCAUUUCCCCCCUUACCAUCCACCUGAAAUCAGGCCUGCGCAUGGGCUAGGCAGUGGGUGAAGUGACUUGGCCAGGGUCACUCAGCUAGGAGGUGGCUGAGGCCAGGUCGGAUCCGGGACCUCCCAUCUCUGGGCCUGGGUCCUGUGGUCUCUCCUUUGGGAUUAAAUUUGUGGCUAAAGAAUGCUCAGGCCCAUUUCAGGGCCUCCCUACAUUGCCGCAGUGUUGCCUGGCUGGUCUCCUGCCUCGCCU
rnacentral:lncRNA from 1 species